UACGGAGGGGGCUAGCGUUGUUCGGAAUUACUGGGCGUAAAGCGCACGUAGGCGGAUUGUUAAGUCGGGGGUGAAAUCCUGGAGCUCAACUCCAGAACUGCCUUCGAUACUGGCGAUCUCGAGUUCGGGAGAGGUGAGUGGAACUGCGAGUGUAGAGGUGAAAUUCGUAGAUAUUCGCAAGAACACCAGUGGCGAAGGCGGCUCACUGGCCCGAUACUGACGCUGAGGUGCGAAAGCUAGGGGAGCAAACGGG
rnacentral:rRNA from 1 species